rnacentral:piRNA from 1 species
CAAGAUGACUCUGCUGACCUGUGUGAUGC